UAAUAAUAUAAUUAAUUUCACUUUUACAAUCAAUUCCAAAUUACGAUCACAAAGACAUGUUUAUAUAUCCAACAACACAAAGCCAAAUAAACAGCACAUAAUUAUUCCCUUUUCCUUUCUUUUAUUUCUUCUCCAUGCAAACAAUAACACGUUCCGGAGGAGUCAUAUUCUCGUGCAGAAGCGAGAAGGUGCCAUUUCAACCGUGUGAUGGCUUCUGUUCCGCCGCCGUGGUCUCUUCCUCCGUGCUCCCCUCCACCUCCACCUCCACCACGUUGGUCUCGUCGGCGUCCGCGUCGCCGUCUCCUCCGCUAGGCCCAUCCGCUUCGUGCUUCGCCUCGCUUGUCUCUGGUUCCUCCUCGAUUCCCGUCAUGGCAUUCUCGCCGGAUUCGGCGGCCACAACCUACACACAUGCACAGUUUGAGAUCGAAGAAGGAAGAUGUCUCAAGAUCGAUAAUCCACGCAAAUAAUAUUGGGCUUCCACAAACCUCAGCGGCCUCGGCGGCGGCGGGGGCGGGGGCCUUCACGUCGGCCCGUGGCACCUCAGGUGUCUCGCAGUAGAUGUCCUUGGGUUUACUCCCACAGCCACCCAUGGAUUCCUGCGGAGACGGAGGCGGUUGUGCUGGGGAGCGUCGGAGGGAAGGGCGAGAGAAGGCAAGGAAGGAG
rnacentral:lncRNA from 1 species